AGUGAACGCUGGCGGUAGGCCUAACACAUGCAAGUCGAACGGCAGCACAGUAAGAGCUUGCUCUUACGGGUUGCGAGUGGCGGACGGGUGAGGAAUACAUCGGAAUCUACUUUUUCGUGGGGGAUAACGUAGGGAAACUUACUCUAAUACCGCAUACGACCUACGGGUGAAAGCAGGGAAUCUUCGGACCUUGCGCGAUUGAAUGAGCCGAUGUCGGAUUAGCUAGUGGGCGGGGUAAAGGCCCACCAAGGCGACGAUCCGUAGCUAGGCUGAGAGGAUGAUCAGCCACACUGGAACUGGGACACGGUCCAGACUCCAACGGGAGGCAGCAGUGGGGAAUAUUGGACAAUGGGCGCAAGCCUGAUCCAGCCAUACCGCGUGGGUGAAGAAGGCCUUCGGGUUGUAAAGCCCUUUUGUUGGGAAAGAAAAGCAGCAGGUUAAUACCCCGCUGUUCUGACGGUACCCAAAGAAUAAGCACCGGCUAACUUCGUG
rnacentral:rRNA from 1 species